rnacentral:rRNA from 1 species
CGAGCGGUAACAUGGAUAGCUUGCUAUCUGAUGACGAGCGGCGGACGGCUGAGUAACACGUGGGAACGGACCCCAAACUGAGGAAUAACUAAUCGAAAGAUUGGCUAAUACCGCAUGUGAUCUUCGGAUUAAAGGGUAGCACUGAACAGAUAACAUAAAUUCUGAUUAAAAAUUUCAAAUUUCAUCGAUAUUUACAUUAUCUGUUCAGUGCUAGCCGGUUUGGGACUGGCCUGCGCACGAUUAGAUAGUUGGUGAGGUAAUGGCUCACCAAGUCGACGAUCGUUAGAUGGUUUGAGAGGAUGAUCAUCCAGACUGGGACUGAGACACGGCCCAGACUCCUACGGGAGGCAGCAGUAGGGAAUCUUUCACAAUGGGCGAAAGCCUGAUGGAGCAACGCCGCGUGCAGGAUGAAGGCCUUCGGGUUGUAAACUGCUUUUAUAAGCGAGAAAUAUGAUGGUAACUUAUGAAUAAGGAUCGGCUAACUACGUG